rnacentral:rRNA from 1 species
UACGUAGGGGGCAAGCGUUGUCCGGAUUUAUUGGGCGUAAAGAGCGUGUAGGCGGCUUGGCAAGUCCGCUGUGAAAACUCGAGGCUCAACCUCGAGACGUCGGUGGAAACUGCCUCGCUAGAGUCCGGAAGAGGAGAGUGGAAUUCCUGGUGUAGCGGUGAAAUGCGUAGAGAUCGGGAGGAACACCAGUGGCGCAAGCGGCCCCCAAGCCUGAACCUGACGCUGAAGCGCGACAGCGUGGGGAGCAAACGGG